UAUUGAUAGCACCCAAGACGAGGCUCAACCUGAAGUUAUUAUUGACGUGAGUGCAAUAGUGAUGAUUACAAUACAAUUGCUGAACUUGGUCAUCGUGGUCUUCUCUACCGUGAAGCUGUCUCGGCAGAUGUACUGGCACAACAUCAGCAAAUGGUUCUUUCUUCAAAAUUACAUGGCGACCGUCCUUCUCUUCAGCGGAAUUUACACCAUGACUCACAGA